rnacentral:rRNA from 1 species
UAGUCUGGUGCCAGCAGCCGCGGUAAUUCCAGCUCCAAUAGCGUAUAUUUAAGUUGUUGCAGUUAAAAAGCUCGUAGUUGGAUUUCGGAGUUGGGCGACCGGUCCGCCGUUUCGGUGUGCACUGGUCCGACCCUUCUUUUUCUGUCGGGGACGCGCGCUCCUUAAUUGGGGACGCGGAGUCGGCGCUGUUACUUUGAAAAAAUUAGAGUGUUCAAGGCAGGCUUACGCUCUGAAUACUAUAGCAUGGAAUAACGCGAUAGGACUCCGAGCCUAUUUCGUUGGUCUUCGGGACCGGAGUAAUGAUUAAGAGGGACAGUUGGGGGCAUUCGUAUUCCGGUGUCAGAGGUGAAAUUCUUGGAUUUCCGGAAGACGAACUUCUGCGAAAGCAUUUGCCAAGGAUGUUUUCAUUAAUCAAGAACGAAAGUUGGGGGCUCGAAGAUGAUCAGAUACCGUCGUAGUCUCAACCAUAAACGAUGCCGACUAGGGAUUGGAGGAUGUUAAAUCGAUGACGCCUCCAGCACCUUAUGAGAAAUCAAAGUCUUUGGGUUCCGGGGGGAGUAUGGUCGCAAGGCUGAAACUUAAAGGAAUUGACGGAAGGGCACCACCAGGCGUGGAGCCUGCGGCUUAAUUUGACUCAACACGGGGAAACUUACCAGGUCCAGACAUAGUGAGGAUUGACAGAUUGAGAGCUCUUUCUUGAUUCUAUGGGUGGUGGUGCAUGGCCGUUCUU